CAGCCUCUGUACAUGCCAGGCAUUGUGCCAGUCACUGGAGAAGUUGAGAUGGAUAAGAUCCUAAACAUGCACACAACUAAAUAUGAUAAAGAAUUCCAGGUGCUUUGAGAUGAGGAAGCCAAGGAAUGGAAAGAUGAAGGGACUUGACUCAAAUCACACAGCACAUAACUGGUAUAUGGUUGGGACGUAGAGAAGCAGAAAGG